GACGAACGCUGGCGGCGUGCUUAACACAUGCAAGUCGAACGAAGUCGCGCACGGGUGAGUAACGCGUAGUCCACCUGCCCAUCAGAGGGGGACAACAGUUGGAAACGACUGCUAAUACCGCAUACUUAAGGAGGUGAUUGCGUCUGGUGAGCUAGUUGGCGGGGUAACGGCCCCACAAGGCGAGGAUCAGUAGCCGGUCUGAGAAGAUGAACGGGCACAAUGGGACUGAGAAACGGCCCAGACUCCUACGGGAGGCAGGAGUGGGGAAUCUUUGGCAAUGGAGGAAAGUCUGACGGAGCAACGCCGCGUGAGUGAUGACGGCCUUCGGGUUGUAAAGGUCUGUUAAGCGGGACGCGGUACCGGAAUAGAAAGCCACGGCUAACUACGUGCCAGCAGCCGCGGUAAUAC
rnacentral:rRNA from 1 species